rnacentral:rRNA from 1 species
GAUGAACGCUGGCGGCGUGCCUAAUACAUGCAAGUCGUGCGGCAGCGGGCCCUUCGGGGUGCCGGCGAGCGGCGGACGGCUGAGUAACGCGUGGGAACGUGCCCCAAAGUGAGGGAUAACUCCGGGAAACCGGAGCUAAUACCGCAUAUGGUCUUCGGAUUAAAGCUUCGGCGCUUUGGGAGCGGCCCGCGUCUGAUUAGAUUGUUGGUGAGGUAAUGGCUCACCAAGUCGACGAUCAGUAGCUGGUCUGAGAGGAUGAUCAGCCAGACUGGAACUGAGACACGGUCCAGACUCCUACGGGAGGCAGCAGUAAGGAAUCUUCCACAAUGGGGGCAACCCUGAUGGAGCAACGCCGCGUGAAGGAUGAAGGCCCUCGGGUCGUAAACUUCUUUUGUUAGCGAAGAAUAUGACGGUAACUAACGAAUAAGGGUCGGCUAACUACGUGCCAGCCGCCGCGGUAA